rnacentral:rRNA from 1 species
AUUGAACGCUGGCGGCAGGCCUAACACAUGCAAGUCGAACGGUAACAGGAAGCAGCUUGCUGCUUUGCUGACGAGUGGCGGACGGGUGAGUAAUGUCUGGGAAACUGCCUGAUGGAGGGGGAUAACUACUGGAAACGGUAGCUAAUACCGCAUAACGUCGCAAGACCAAAGAGGGGGACCUUCGGGCCUCUUGCCAUCGGAUGUGCCCAGAUGGGAUUAGCUAGUAGGUGGGGUAACGGCUCACCUAGGCGACGAUCCCUAGCUGGUCUGAGAGGAUGACCAGCCACACUGGAACUGAGACACGGUCCAGACUCCUACGGGAGGCAGCAGUGGGGAAUAUUGCACAAUGGGCGCAAGCCUGAUGCAGCCAUGCCGCGUGUAUGAAGAAGGCCUUCGGGUUGUAAAGUACUUUUCAGCGGGGAGGAAGGCGAUAAGGUUAAUAACCUUGUCGAUUGACGUUACCCGCAGAAGAAGCGCCGCUAACUCC